GCCCGGGUGGCGAAAUGGUAGACGCAAGGGACUUAAAAUCCCUGGGCCGCAAGGCUAUGCGGGUUCAAGUCCCGCCCCGGGUA
rnacentral:tRNA from 1 species